CGGACGGGUGAGUAACGCGUGGAUAACCUGCCUCACACUGGGGGAUAACAGUUAGAAAUGGCUGCUAAUACCGCAUAAGCGCACAGUACCGCAUGGUACGGUGUGAAAAACCCAGGUGGUGUGAGAUGGAUCCGCGUCUGAUUAGCCAGUUGGCGGGGUAACGGCCCACCAAAGCGACGAUCAGUAGCCGACCUGAGAGGGUGACCGGCCACAUUGGGACUGAGACACGGCCCAA
rnacentral:rRNA from 1 species